GAUGAAGAACGUAGCGAAAUGCGAUAAGUAAUGUGAAUAGCAGAAUUCAGUGAAUCAUCGAAUCUUUGAACGCACCUUGCGCCCUUUGGCCAUUCCGAAGGGCAUGCCUGUUUGAGUAUCAUGAACACCUCAACUCUUUAUGGUUUUCCAUGAUGAGCUUGGACUCUGGGGGUUUUGCUGGCUCACAGUCGGCUCCUCUAAAAUGAAUCAGCUUACCAGUGUUUGGUGGGUAUCAUGGGUGUGAUAACUAUCUACGCUUGUGGUUUUUCCACCAGGUAACCUUCAGCAGUGGAGGUUCGCUGGAGCUCAUAGAUGUCUCUCCUCAGUGAGGACAGCCCUUUGAAUGUUUGAUCUCAAAUCAGGUAGGACUACCCGCUGAACUUAAGCAUAUCAAUAAGCGGAGGA
rnacentral:misc_RNA from 1 species